UGCCCAUUUCCCUCGUGUUCAGAAAGAUUUUCUCAUGCUUGUAUAAAUAUAUGGUUGAUGCAUUAUUAAGAUGUCCCCGACAUGACAUUUAUUAGCGAGCUUGAGCAAGGGACGUUUUUGUCAACAUUCACCUUUUUGCCCGCGCGUCUCUCCUCCGCCCGAUUUUCACCUUUGAGCUUUUAAUAGGCGAAAAAAAUAAAGGCCCGACAUUCACGUUAACACGGACGUCACCCGAAAAUGGCAUCUAAUUUUGGUAGCAUUUUGCAUCAUAGCGCUCGUGUAAGGAAGCAAAAAACUUUAAAAUCAUCUUGCAUUUUGUCAGAUGUGUUAAAGAUUAAUCAUCUUGCAUUUUGUCAGAUGUGUUAAAGAUUACCUUGACGUCACAAACUGAUACAAACACAGUUUUUUAAUCCAGUCCUCCUUGAGCUCAGUGGUAGUUGACAAUCGCAAGAUAAAAGAUGUUUGCAUUGAUGCAUGGACGUUCUUUUGACCAAAUUCAACUAACACUUAUCCAGCAAAUCUUUUUGGGCAACAAUCUUGAUAAUAUUGACAAACUCCCAGUAAAAGGCGCUACUGUCUACGUAAUGCCGAUGAAGAUCAAGGGUGGCAGCGGUGGUCCAACUCGUAUUAUUGCUCACACUGAUCUUGCAGCACGAAGUUCUCGUCAAACAACAAGAAUACACCUUUCCGGAAAAUACGUCGCCUUGGUAUAGAGUCUCGUUUUCGUGUAUGUGACAUUAGUUAAAGCCAAACGUCUCAAUCACGAAAACGAGGCUCUAUAGCCAAGGUGACGUACUUUCCGUACUUUCCGGAAGCGUGUAUUGGGG